ensembl:lncRNA
GAACAAUGGUUGUGUGAGUAGGUGAAGAGCCUGAGAAGUUUUAAUUGUCUGCUACACAAACAGUUGUUUUAAACCUCUACAGAAGAGGUUCGAGUAGUGAUUUUUAGAAGACAAGCCAAGAUAAGCCAGGUGUGCAGCAAACACAGUUGUCUGCUGGAGGUAUGUUAACUUAAUAUAUUUGACAUUAAAAAAAGUAUAUUUAUGCACUAUAAUCUAAUUUAUAUUGUAUUGCCUCCUGCAGGACAGGCUGCACAUGUGAAUUUGUCACUGUUUUUUUCCUCCUCCUCUUUUUGUUGCGUUUUUGGUUUUAGUAGGGUCACCUUUUAAAACUGUUUGUUUUUUAUGCUGGGUUUGUUUUUAUUUCUACUGGGCUGGUGCAAUAUUAGUCGGGCAACGUGCAGUCCCUGAGCUGGGCUCUUACCUUAGGGGAAUUAGGUCUUUUAGAGGUGCUCCGUGUGGAUUUGCUGUGAACAAGUUUUAUUAAGAGUGAUUUUAGUGCCACCGAUUAUUGCCUGGACUAAAACACUUAGUGCAUGCGAUAAGUGCUCUGUUGGGCUCGUAUUUAUUUGGGGUGGAUUUCUUUCUUUUAAAGUAACAAGCAUCUGGGACCACCGGGGUAGAGCAAGCCCUCAGGUGAUAGCUGCAUUGCUGGCAGGUUGCACCAAUAAAACUAUACUGCAGUCGUUAGUGACUUUUUCUCUAUUUUGAUGUUUUAGGCCUUUUACAAAC